GCGGAAGUGGUGGAAUUGGUAGACACACUAUCUUGAGGGGGUAGCGCCUUACCGGCGUGCGGGUUCAAAUCCCGCCUUCCGCA
rnacentral:tRNA from 1 species